GUGCAGCAGGCGCGAACCUUCGCAAUGCAGGAAACUGCGACGAGGGAACUCCAAGUGCCUACGCUCAGCGUAGGCUGUUCUCAAGCCUAGAAAGCUUGAGGAGUAAGGGCUGGGUAAGACGGGUGCCAUCUGUGGUAGCAGUCAAUAGAUUCGAUUUGUUACUGCAAGGCAUAAGCCGCCGCGGUAAUACCCGCAGCCCAAGUGGUGGCCGCUUUUAUUGGGCCUAAAGCGUCCGUAGCCGGCCCGGUAAAUGCCUGGGGUAAAUCGUGGAGCCCAACUUCACGAAUUCCGGGUAGACUGCCGAGCUCGGGGACCGGAAGAGGGGAGAGGGUACUUCUAGGGGUAGGGGGUGGAAAAUUUACCUUUUCCUACUUAACGUACGUUUGU
rnacentral:rRNA from 1 species